rnacentral:rRNA from 1 species
UUUUACAGUAAUGCUUAUAUUCACUACAGCAUGCCACCCUGAUCUCCUUUGAUCUUGGAAGCUAAGCAGGUUUGGGCCUGGUUAGUACUUAGAUAGGAGACCACCUUGGAAUACCAGGUGCUGUAGGCA